GAUGAACGCUGGCGGCGUGCUUAACACAUGCAAGUCGAACGAUGAAGCCCAGCUUGCUGGGUGGAUUAGUGGCGAACGGGUGAGUAACACGUGAGUAACCUGCCCUUGACUCUGGGAUAAGCCUGGGAAACUGGGGCUAAUACUGGAUAUGAGUUCUCGUCGCAUGGUGGGGGGUGGGAAGAUUUAUUGGUCUUGGAUGGGCUCGCGGCCUAUCAGCUUGUUGGUGGGGUAUUGGCUCACCAAGGCGACGACGGGUAGCCGGCCUGAGAGGGUGACCGGCCACACUGGGACUGAGACACGGCCCAGACUCCUACGGGAGGCAGCAGCGGGGAAUAUUGCACAAUGGGCGCAAGCCUGAUGCAGCGACGCCGCGUGAGGGAUGACGGCCUUCGGGUUGUAAACCUCUUUCAGUAGGGAAGAAGCGAGAGUGACGGUACCUGCAGAAGAAGCGCCGGCUAACUACGUG
rnacentral:rRNA from 1 species